AUUGAACGCUGGCGGCAGGCCUAACACAUGCAAGUCGAACGGUAGCACAGAGAGCUUGCUCUCGGGUGACGAGUGGCGGACGGGUGAGUAACGUCUGGGAAACUGCCCGAUGGAGGGGGAUAACUACUGGAAACGGUAGCUAAUACCGCAUAACGUCGCAAGACCAAAGUGGGGGACCUUCGGGCCUCACACCAUCGGAUGUGCCCAGAUGGGAUUAGCUAGUAGGUGGGGUAAUGGCUCACCUAGGCGACGAUCCCUAGCUGGUCUGAGAGGAUGACCAGACACACUGGAGCUGAGACACGGUCCAGACUCCUACGGGAGGCAGCAGUGGGGAAUAUUGAACAAUGGGCGCAAGCCUGAUGCAGCCAUGCCGCGUGUAUGAAGAAGGCCUUCGGGUUGUAAAGUACUUUCAGCGGGGAGGAAGGCGGUGAAGUUAAUAGCUUAACCGAUUGACGUUACCCGCAGAAGAAGCACCGGCUAACUCCGUGCCAGCCGCCGCCGUAA
rnacentral:rRNA from 1 species